rnacentral:pre_miRNA from 1 species
GUCCAGGGGAACUUGUUAAAAUGCAGAUUCUGAUUCAAUGGGUUGUGAUUGGGGGCUGAGAUUCUGCCUUUUUAGCAGGCUCCCAGGUGAUGCUGA